CCUACGGGUGGCAGCAGUGGGGGAUAUUGCACAAUGGGGGGAACCCUGAUGCAGCGACGCCGCGUGGGUGAAGAAGCGCCUCGGCGUGUAAAGCCCUGUCAGUAGGGAAGAAAACGUCGGUACCUGUAGAAGAAGUCCAGGCUAUCUACGUGCCAGCAGCCGCGGUAAUACGCCGGGCGCAAGCGUUAUCCGGAUUUACUGGGCGGAAAGGGGGCGCAGACGGCGAUGCAAGCCAGGCGUGAAAGCCCGGGGCUCAACCCCGGGAUUGCGUUUGGAACUGCGUGGCUGGAGUGCAGGAGGGGCAGGCGGAAUUCCAGGUGUAGCGGUGAAAUGCGUAGAUAUCAGGAGGAACACCGAUGGCGAAGGCAGCCUGCUGGACUGCAACUGACGUUGAGGCCCGAAAGCGUGGGGAGCAAACAGGAUUAGAUACCCCUGUAGUC
rnacentral:rRNA from 1 species